rnacentral:rRNA from 1 species
UUUUCUUAGUAGCGGCGAGCGAAAAGAAAUCAGUUCAGCACUAAGUCACUUUGUCUUUAUGGGAAAUGUGAGAUGCAGUGUAUGGAACGUUUAGAAUCUAGUAUGAGAAAUUAAUGAUUUAAGUCCUUCUUAAAUGAGGCCAAUUACCCAUAGAGGGUGCCAGGCCCGUAUAACGUUAAUGAUUACUAGAAGGCGAUUCCAAAGAGUCGUGUUGCUUGAUAGUGCAGCACUAAGUUGGUGGUAAACUCCAUCUAAAACUAAAUAUGACCAUGAGACCGAUAGUAAACAAGUACCGUGAGGGAAAGUUGAAAAGAACUCUGAAUAGAGAGUUAAAUAGUACGUGAAACUGCUUAGAGGUUAAGCCCGAUGAACCUGAAUAUCCGUUAUGGAAAAUUCAUCAUUAAAAUUGUAAUAUCUUUACUUUUUUUGUUUUUUUUAACAAAAAGAAAGAAAAUAUUAUAAUGAUAGUGUGCAUUUUUUCCAUAUAAGGACAUUGUAAUCUAUUAACAUAAUAAAAUAUUUAUGAAAAAAUCAUAAACAUAAAGUUUAUUUUAAUUAUUAUGCUUGCAUUUUAACAUAAAAUAAAUGUUAAUGAUUUGAUAAAGUGUUAAUAAAUUUAUCAUAUAUACAAUGCUUUAAUUUUUUCGGAAUUAUAUAAUAGCAUAAUUAUCAUUGAUUUUUAUGUUUAUUAUAUGCAUUUGUAUGUUUAACAAUGCGAAAGAUUCAGGAUACCCUCGGGACCCGUCUUGAAACACGGACCAAGGAGUCUAACAUAUAUGCAAGUCAUUGGGAUUUUAUAAACCUAAUGGCAUAAUUAACUUAACUUGUUAAUAUAUGGGAUUAGUUUUUAAACUAUUUAUAGUUUAUUAACACAAUCCCGGGGCGUUCUAUAUAGUUAUGUAUAAUAAUAUUUAUAUUGUU